rnacentral:rRNA from 1 species
GGGGUGACGGCCUCCCAAGGCGACGACGGGUAGCCGGCCUGAGAGGGCGACCGCCCACACGGGGAUUGAGACACGGCCCAGACUCCUACGGGAGGCAGCAGUAGGGCAUUUUCCGCAAUGGACGAAAGUCUGACGGAGCAACGCCGCGUGAGUGAGGACGGUAUUCGGAUUGUAAAGCCCUUUCGCCUGGGAAGAAAAGCC